GGGGUCAGUUAUAUGGAUUUUUUUAUUCUUGCAAUUCAACUCUUCUUGAAACCAAUUGAGCUUCGAUAUCUAAAAAAUGUAAGCCUUUUAAUACUACAUCCUUUCAUAUAAUUUUAGGUCUCCCUCUUUCAUUUCUCACUGCUUUCACCUUAUCUCAUUUUUGUAUUGAGACAUUCGAUGCUCUACGUUGGACAUGACUAAACCAUUUUAAUUGAUAUUCUCUCAUUUUAUCUCCAAUGUCUGCUAUAUUUACUUUCUGGUAGAUGUGAUUAUUUCUUAAUAUCUGCAUUUUUGCCAUAUUCAUCUUGUUGGUAUCUCGUACCUUAGAUGUCCAACAUUUAUUCGCAACAUAUAGAAAAUUGUUGAAAUUCCUGUGCUGGCUAAAAUUUAUUUCUGUAUUAUGGCUUUAAACAAAAGGAAAUAUCAACCAUUAUUAGAUUAUUAGAAUUUCA
rnacentral:misc_RNA from 1 species